rnacentral:rRNA from 1 species
GGCCUACGGGAGGCAGCAGUGGGGAAUAUUGCACAAUGGGGGAAACCCUGAUGCAGCAACGCCGCGUGAGUGAAGAAGUCAUUCGUGAUGUAAAGCUCUAUCAGCAGGGAAGAAAAUGACGGUACCUGAGUAAGAAGCCCCGGCUAACUACGUGCCAGCAGCCGCGGUAAUACGUAGGGGGCAAGCGUUAUCCGGAUUUAUUGGGUGUAAAGGGUGCGUAGACGGAGAAACAAGUUGGUUGUGAAAUCCCUCGGCUCAACUGAGGAACUGCAACCAAAACUAUUUCCCUUGAGUGUCGGAGAGGA